UACGUAGGGCGCAAGCGUUAUCCGGAAUUAUUGGGCGUAAAGGGCGCGUAGGCGGUCGUGUGCGUCAGAGGUGAAAUCCCCGGGCUUAACCCGGGAGCUGCCUCUGAUACGGCAUGGCUUGAGUCCGGGAGAGGAGAGCAGAAUUCCCAGUGUAGCGGUGAAAUUCGUAGAUAUUCGCAAGAACACCAGUGGCGAAGGCGGCUCACUGGCCCGAUACUGACGCUGAGGCACGAAAGCGUGGGGAGCAAACAGG
rnacentral:rRNA from 1 species